CGUCAGAUAGCUCAGUGGUCUAGAGCAGUCGGCGGGCAAGCGAAAGUCCCGGUUUCGAUUCCCGGUCUAGCGA
rnacentral:tRNA from 1 species